GACUACGCAUAGGCCAGUCUGCAGGUAACAAUCGCUUGGAUCCAGACUUUGAUUAUGGCUCAGGAUGAACGCUGGCGGCGUGCCUAACACAUGCAAGUCGAACGGACUUACAUUGAAGCCUAGCGAUAUGUAAGUUAGUGGCGGACGGGUGAGUAACGCGUGGGUAACCUGCCUUGUACUGGGGGACAACAGUUGGAAACGACUGCUAAUACCGCAUAAGCGCACAGCUUCGCAUGAAGCAGUGUGAAAAACUCCGGUGGUACAAGAUGGACCCGCGUCUGAUUAGCUGGUUGGUGAGGUAACGGCCCACCAAGGCGACGAUCAGUAGCCGGCCUGAGAGGGUGAACGGCCACAUUGGGACUGAGACACGGCCCAAACUCCUACGGGAGGCAGCAGUGGGGAAUAUUGCACAAUGGGGGAAACCCUGAUGCAGCAACGCCGCGUGAGUGAAGAAGUAUUUCGGUAUGUAAAGCUCUAUCAGCAGGAAAGAAAAUGACGGUACCUGACUAAGAAGCCCCGGCUAACUACGUGCCAGCAGCCGCGGUAAUACGUAGGGGGCAAGCGUUAUCCGGAUUUACUGGGUGUAAAGGGAGCGUAGACGGUUUUGCAAGUCUGAAGUGAAAGCCCGGGGCUUAACCCCGGGACUGCUUUGGAAACUGUAGGACUAGAGUGCAGGAGAGGUAAGUGGAAUUCCUAGUGUAGCGGUGAAAUGCGUAGAUAUUAGGAGGAACACCAGUGGCGAAGGCGGCUUACUGGACUGUAACUGACGUUGAGGCUCGAAAGCGUGGGGAGCAAACAGGAUUAGAUACCCUGGUAGUCCACGCCGUAAACGAUGAUUACUAGGUGUUGGUGGGUAUGACCCAUCGGUGCCGCAGCAAACGCAAUAAGUAAUCCACUGG
rnacentral:rRNA from 1 species